UGAAAUCCCAUCGUCACCCUAACAGUGCAAAGACCAAAAAUACCAUAGCCGUUGUAAUGGAAGGAACUUGGGCCAAGUCGGUUAUCUGUAUGCUCCUGGUUAUGGCAUCUGGAUCGCCAUUGCGGAGGUUGCCUGGAGCUGAAGCAAGAGGACCCUUUUGCUGUCCGCGCAUGGUAGACUGCAACAAAGUCUGCCAAGGGUUUCCCAACCGCUGCGUUGAUUGCAAGUGCAUAUGCGGUGGAGGUGAUACUCAUAGUCACACUCCGCCGUUGCCAAUGGCCUCUUCCGAAUUGAUAAACUAGUGAUCACUUGGCGCUUAUGUAUGGGAAAUUUAAGGACGUGAUCGGGAAUGUUCUUCUUUUUCACUGUUGGAUUGCUUUCGGCCGUAAUUCCUAUUGUAGAAUUAGAUUUCUCCAUAUCUAAAUAAAUUGGUUCUUUUAUUC